rnacentral:lncRNA from 1 species
AUGAAAACGUCGCCUCGCGGGCACUUUAAGGACAAAUCUCCAUUGCAGCAGAGGAGUCUGAACACUGAUCAGGACAGGAGUAUUAGACGUGUCUGGCUCAGGAUGCAGUUACAAACAAAGCUGAUUCAACAAGGCAUGGUGAGUUCUUCUUAAAUGUCCAUGUACGCAGAUCACCUGGGGAUUUCGUUAAGCUGCAGCUUCUGGCUCAGGAGCAUCCGGAGUAUGAUCUCAUGUGUGCAUUUCUGAUGAUGCUGGCCUACAGAUCACACUUUCAGUGGUGAGGGCUUUAACAAUAAAGAAAAUGUUAGCUCGUUUAAUUUGAAGACUCAGGAAAAGUAUUGACUUCAAAUAAGGCUUGUAACAGUUGUUCAAUAAUGUCAUGAAAGUGCUGUUUUUUUUAACUUCUUCCUGUGUUCUGUAAAGUUGGCUUCACCUUUGGGCUGGCUUUCCUCACGGGACCAAGAUGACUGCCUGCAGUCCCUGAGGCUUUGGUUCAUACUUCCUUGGGUGUGAACAGCAGAAAAUUUGUCUCCAGUAUUACCAACAAAAUUGCUAAGAUUCAUUUUGAUUGUACAGAUGAAAUAAAUUGAUUUGUUUAACUACAAGUGGAGCAAAGCUGGAGUGAAAUUUCUGGAGCCUAUAGAAAUCAGGGCUAUGAGAAGGGGAGGGUUUGCUGGGGAGGAAACCAAGAAAUAUCCUCUGUAGAGUCAAAUAAGAUAAAAGUUUUGAUCAAAAUUAACAAACGUAACACACACAAAGAGAGAGAGAGAGAAGGGAGGGAGAGAAAACAUAGUUUGCCUAUUUCUUCAUCUGAUUUGGGAAGCUUCUGAGUCAGGAAAUGUUAGUUUUUGUUUAUAUCAAAUACGUUUUGGAAAUCAUGACACCCUUUUAGGGAUCUCUUUGGCAUAUUUUAUUUAUUAGUUUAAAUAAGAAUGUGGCUUUGUGUCAACAAGAUUCACUAACAAGGGUUGGAUUGAAUAAUAUCUCUAUAAAAAGAUCGGAAAAUCCAGAGCAGGAGGAAACUUUUAAAGGUUUUGAGGUCUGUUUUUAUCUUAUAAUUACAAAUUUAACUUUGUUGUCCAGAUAGAAUUGGAGGGAGAUAAAGGAAGUGUAGAAUUCAAAUAAUUGUAGCAAAUGAGAAUAUAAAGACAGAGUAUGCAGUCAAACUGGGCAUGAGGCUACUCUUCCCAGUACAGAAGCAAUGGUUUGUUAACUAGGAUAAACACAAAUUAAAGUUAGGAGAGUUACUGCAGUUAAUAGUGGUGAACUUCUUGCUAAUCUUGCAGUAAGGGGAAUCCAAUUUUACAUUCAUGCCUUAAGAGAGGCUCAGAGGAAAAGAAUAAUAUUAUAUCUUAGCACAAUUAUACUAGAUACCCAGACGGGUGAAGCUAUAUGUUUCUCACCUUCAUCUUGCUUCUGGAACCUGACAAGGUGGAAUAGAAGCCUGCAAACCUGAGUAGUGCUGCUCUGGGAAACAUUCUGGUCAUACGAUAUGAUGAACUGGACUAGUGGUUAAUGAGUGAGUAGAGCUCCAGUAAUAAGUCAAUAUCUCUGACUCUUAUUUUUCAGGUUUUAUCUACUACAAAGGAUAUCAUUUGGGAAGGAAUUUCUGGGAACUGCUCCCAAGAGAGCCAUUGGACCAUGUGGUAAACAACUCCUAGCUGAUAGAUUAUUGGGUAAAGAUAAACCUGGAUGAUCCCGUGCUUAGAAAGGUUCCUGAUUAUAAUGAAUAAGACGUAGCGGUGGCAUGCCCAGUAUACCAUAGUGUGCUAGGCACAAAUAUACAUCACCCUUGUUUUUGUGGAUGGCAAACUAUUAAACAGAAUAGGAAAGAACGGUGGAUUCCUGAUGGGAGUAGAACAGUAGGUACCACGUAGUGAUUCUGACUUCCUCUGGGAAUAGCCCCACCCUGAGGUGAAGAAGGC